UCCAACCCGCGUAGCUUCUUUCCGAAUGUCAAUGAUUCGAUCUCAGAGCUGAGAGGAGAAAUUAGCAACCAAAGCAAGCACUUUGGAACAUUUAAGAAAUCCAGGGGAGAAGUAAAUACAUAUACUAUGUUUCAAUGCAGACACUAUGUCUCCAAAAAUGACUGUCUUGCCUGCUUCAAUAAUGCCUCCAUCCAAAUCCGGGAUAUAUGCAGAACAGCCAACGGCGCCAGAAUGAUUGCUUCCUCAGACUAAAAGGAGAGAAGGUUCAAGCAGCUGAUGUCUCGCUAAGUGAGGCAUAUGCGCUUAGCGAGUGACAUCCGCUAAGCGAGACAUGCAACUCACUUAGCGUGCUGGGAAAUCUUAGAAGAGGAUCAGUCGAAGAUGUGCUCGCCUAGCACGCCGCAAGCUUGUCCAGCGAGUCGUUUGUUUCUUCUCGCAUUCAGCGCGUCCAGCUCGCUAAGCCAAAUUUCACUUACUCUAGCUUAGCGAGCCUUUAGAAGCUGAAACGUCCAGAUAGCCUUUAAAACACAGAAGUUGACGAAAACUAAGGAGAGAAGUCGAAAAACAUAGUCAAGGGAGAAGCUAGAGCGACAGAAACGGAGCCACCAAGAGAGUUUAGGUUAGAGAAAUGAGAUUAGGGUUCCAAAGGUUGAAUGAGACAUCUUCAACCCUUCUUAGCCAUUUUCCUUCACUCAAAAUCUGUUCUUCCUUGUAUUGUAAGCUUAUUUCUUGUAAUGAAAGGCUAAAUGUCUUAAUUGGGAAGUUCUGUUGAACCUUAGAUGUAAUACUCUUUCACUAUCUAUUUAAUGUUAUUUUUAUGUGUUCA